AAGCCAUCUAAUCUUAUCCUUCUGAAGGCUUGUGACUCGGAAGAGUCUGUGUGCAAACCUUGGUGAGAAACAGAAGUUGACUUCCCACCCCACAGCCAGCAAGAUCCAGCCAGGCUAUAUAAGCAACAGACACUGGAUGGUAAAGGAAAUGAAUCCUUCAUAUGUUGUCUGAGCCCAGCAGGGAAACAGAAAUGCUUUCCAAAAAGAGAAAAGAAAGAAAAAUCGUUUUGUGUUUGCAGUCUGCUUGUGUGUUGCUUGGAGAAAAUCAGCACAUCUGAAAAGGCAGCAUCUGGUAAGGAAAGCAUGGAUGCAGCAGGUGAGGCCAAUGUUAACCAAGGUGACAGAAUCUGCUGCUCAACAAGAGAAGUGUUUGGGGCAGAGAACCAGCCAAGUCACUGCUGUUUUCUGUUUUCCUUUUUUAGUCCAGUGGCACCUUGGAAUGGGAUUAUUAUAGGAAGCUUUCAUUACUUUACUGUUGCUGUCUUUUCAACAGCUGCAAGUGUUUCCUGCUGCUGACUGGGCUUCACUGGUUGAGAACUGGUUGCCCAGCAAGAUAAAUAGUAUCAAUGGGAGACAAGAACUGGUUUACAGCUCAUUUCUUAAUUACCUGUGAGGAUUAGCAAAAGAUUUUAUGUUUCAUUAUCUAUUUUGAACUCAGCUGUAGAACACUGCAGCCAAAGAUGACAGAGUAGAACAUUGCACUUGACUUAACUAACUCAGCUGCAGGAAACUUAGGUUCAGCUUGAGCAAGCAGUAGAUUAUAAGUUACACUGAUAUUGGUCUAUGUUCAUUAGUCUAAGUUGAAAGCCAGGGUUUAUUGGCACAACUAUUUUUCUUGCGUCUAAGCAAGUAAUUCCGUACAUCAUUCAGUAAUGCACAGCAGAUCACUGAAAAAACUGAUUACCCAGGUGGUGCUGGAAAGAUGUUUUCUGUUUAAUAUCUUUGAAAUUCUAAGCAAGAAAUCCAUGCUGAGCAAUUUACAGUAAAGGCAGGGGGGAAAAAUAUGUUUUCUUUUAGCUAUCCUUCUUUUUUUCUGAAAUCAUAGAAUCAUAGAAUGAUUUGGGUUGGAAGGGACCUUUAAGAAACCUAGUUCCAACAACCUGCUAUAGACAGGGACACCUCCAUCUAGACCAGGGUGCUCACAGCUACAUCCAGCCUGACCUUGAGUGCUUCCAGGGAGGGGGCAUCCACAGCCUCACUGAGCAACUUGUUCCAGUGCGUCACCACCCUCACAGUAAAGAAUUUCUUCCUAAUAUCUAGUCUAAAUCUACACUCAUCCAAUGUAAGAUGAUUUCCUGUUGUCCUGCUUACCUGUCACAGCUUGACUUUUAUCAAAACUCCUGGCGCUUCAGAAGCCUUCAAUAGAUUUGCCACCAAGGAAACAAACAUACGUGCAUUACAUAACUUGGCAUCACAAUGCAGAAAGCCCAGCUGUCAUGUUUCCUAUGUUCUGUUCAUAUCUCAUGAAUUGUUUCCUAAACUGACCUUAAUAAUGUAUUUUAGCUUAAUCAGCACA
ensembl:lncRNA